rnacentral:rRNA from 1 species
UGGGGAAUAUUGGACAAUGGGCGCAAGCCUGAUCCAGCCAUGCCGCGUUAGUGAUGAAGGCCCUAGGGUUGCAAAGCUCUUUCACCGGUGAAGAUAAUGACGGUAACCGGAGAAGAAGCCCCGGCUAACUUCGUGCCAGCAGCCGCGGUAAUACGAAGGGGGCUAGCGUUGUUCGGAUUUACUGGGCGUAAAGCGCACGUAGGCGGACUUUUAAGUCAGGGGUGAAAUCCCGGUGCUCAACCCCGGAACUGCCUUUGGUACUGGAAGUCUUGAGUAUGGUAGAGGUGGGUGGAAUUCCGAGUGUAGAAGUGAAAUUCGUAGAUAUUCGGAGGAACACCAGUGGCGAAGGCGGCUCACUGGACCAUUACUGACGCUGAGGUGCGAAAGCGUGGGGAGCAAACAGG